UAGCGCGUUUCUCUCUCUUGCUAAAAACCCCUCUCACUUUAUAAAACCCUAAAUCCAUCUCUUUCCAUUUCUCUUUCUCUUCUAAUACCCUAGGGUUUCACACUUUCUCUUCACCAGUGCUUCAACAUCGUGUUCUUCAUCACUAAUGAAGUUUUGGGUUCACCCUGGGGGUUGCGAGGGGCUGGAGAAGAGGACAUGGACAUCCAUAGGCUCCUUCAUACAAGAGUAAUAACCUACGGUUUUUUAGGGCGGACAACUGGGCACUCGUGGCUAGUAGUUGAAGAUUCAAGCUUGGAAAGAAAGGCCUUAUCCUGAUAGUAGGUGUCUAGUGGCGGUGGCCACGUUGUGAUCUUAUUGGAAGUAUUGUAAUUUAUUUAUUGGGCCUAUAGUGCCUUGAACAUAUUUGUAAUG